rnacentral:lncRNA from 1 species
UCAAAUCAGGUGAUUCCAGUUUCCCAGUUUGGGAAUAGGACAGCUUCUCUGUCGUUCAAAUCAAACCAGGAUAAAUCACUUUGUGAGAAGCUUGAUUUGGAUACAUAAAGUGGUGGAGAAUCACCAGGAAGUUGUUGAGAUGAGCUGAGGAAUAUAAGGAGAGUUGUUCAGGGUUGAAGAGGUUGUGAUGUGGAGAAGAGG